rnacentral:rRNA from 1 species
UACGAAGGGGGCUAGCGUUGUUCGGAAUUACUGGGCGUAAAGCGCACGUAGGCGGGUCGUUAAGUCAGGGGUGAAAUCCCAGAGCUCAACUCUGGAACUGCCUUUGAUACUGGCGACCUAGAGUUCGGAAGAGGUUAGUGGAAUUCCCCAGUGUAGAGGUGAAAUUCGUAGAUAUGGGAAGAACACCAGUGGCGAAGGCGGCUAACUGGUCCGAUACUGACGCUGAGGUGCGAAAAGCGUGGGGAGCCAAACA